UAGGCAUGUGCCACUAUACCCAGAGGAUGUUUGAGAAAAGAAUUUUUUCAAGCAGUGAGUGACACUGUAAAAGCUCUACAGUUGAACAUAACUGGCUAGUUACAGGAAGGGGACCAGUAUGACUGGGAAACAAAGCAGGUAGAUUGUGGGGGCACUAGUCAUUCAUAAAGACUGACUUUUACUCUGAGUGAGACAGGAAGCCAUUAAAGGGUUCUAAUUAGAGGAGAGAGAAUUGCAUUUUAAACUCAUCAUUCUUGUUGGCUUUCUUUCUUUUUUUUUUUUCCUAUUUUUUCUUUUGGUACUGGGGAUUGAAUUCAGGGGCAUUCAACCACUGAGCUACAUCCCCAGCCCUAGUUUGUAUUUUAUUUAGAGACAGGGUCUCACUGAAUUGCUUAGAGCCUCACCUUUGCUGAGGUUGGCUUUGAACUUGAUACCCUCCUGUCUCAGCCUCCUGAACCACUGGGUUUACACAGGCCAGGUGAUUGUUUUGUUAAGGAACUAUUAUAAUAAAACCCAGGUUAUAGAUAGCGUGGGCCAAGACAUUCAUGGUAGAUUGGUGAGGAAUGGUUGGGGUCUGGAUAUAUUUUGAAUGUUGAGCUGAUGGAAUUAAAUGUUGAGUAGAAAUGAGGAUGGAGUGAAAAAAGUUUAGUUAAAUUAUAAACAUUUGGGCCAAGCAUGGUGGCACAGGACUUCCAGUGACUUGGGAGGUUGACAUUGGAGGGAGUAUAAAUUCAAGGUCAUCCUUGGCAACUUAUCAAAUCUUGUCUCAAAAAUGAAAAACCCACUCCUGAAUUUAGUCCCUAGUUUCAAAAGGAAAAAAAGUAAAUAUGCC
rnacentral:lncRNA from 1 species